GGCCCAAUGGUCUAGAAGUAUGAUACUCCCUUCGGGUUAUACCCGCUUACUCUUGCGUAAGCCUGACUGGGAGUGGUCCCGGGUUCAAUUCCCGGUUGAGCCC